AAAUUCUGCAGAGCUUCUGUGGAAACAAUCUGCCUGGUUCUUUCAUCUCUGCAAAGGAAGUUUCUUUCUGUUCACUACUUGACUAGCUGGAAUUCCACCCAGGAAGACACAGCAUUCCUAUCCUCCAGAGGAUUUGGCUCUCAAGAUGCCAUCUUGGAAGCAGAAAGCAGCCCUCACCAGAUGUCAGCACCUUGAUCUUGGACUUCCCAGCCUCCAGAACUGUGAGAAAUAAACUUCUCUUCUUUAUAAAUUACCCAGUUUGCGGUAUUCCGUUAUCAUAGCACAAACAACCUAAGACAAAAACCAAAAUACUUUAAAAAUAUUUGACAAUUUGAGUCCAUUCAUUGAAUAUUAGUCUUUAGGUCAGCAAAGUAAAAAGAAGAGUGAACACAAUUUCUGGCAGGAUCUUGUUCCUCUUGAACUCUCCUCACACUGACAGGGACCCAGCUAUAGUGCAAAGUCUGAACAUGGCCUUCCCUCACUUAUGUACAUCUUUUCCUUGACUCCUCAUCAUGCCUCCUCAUAAUGUCCACCCAUGUGACUUAACAUAUGGGAUCCCUGCAACUGGGACUCCUUCUGUCUUUACAAGCUCUUCUCCAAAUGCUCUGUAGCUUCUCCUGAAUGCUCAAGUACUAACCUGCUUGGAGCUACCUGUUCAUCCCAGGUCCUUUCUGACUCUGUGUUGCUGUACGUAUUGUCCCCUCAGUCGGCCAUCUUAUUUGGGUGGCUAAUUCCUAGUUGUGCUUCAAGAUUCAGCUCCUGGGUCAUCUCUGGGAAAGCCUCUCUCCUAGGAAGCCAAAUCUGAGCCACCAGAUGGGACGACAUCAACUCCCCAACCUCUGUAGUUUCACAGUACCCUGCACAGAUAUCUAGAUACACUUUCCACAAAAAUCAGAAGUGAUCUCUGUUUUUCUGUCUUCGUCCCACUAUCUUGGUCCCACAGUCUGUCACUAGAUUAUAAACUCUUCAAGGGCAUGAACAAUAUUUAUUGAUCUUUAUAUUUCUAGUAAUAAUUUGUUUAAUGCUAAUUUGAGUAUCACACGCACUAGGCUUUGCUGAACCCUUGACUGUACAGGAGACAGGAAACAUUGGUUAGUAGGAGUGGAUAAAAGAGAGGGUCUAAAUACCAUUUUUUUUUUUCUGAUGGAAAGGGUACAUUUUAAUAGUUAGCAUGAGAAAUAAUCUAUGCUUCUCAUUUUUGAAUCAUAUUAAUCCACUCCACUCUGGAGUCUUCAGGUAAAAUGCACCUUAAGAAGCAGCAAAGUGUGUGCAGGAGCAUUCUGGGUAAAAAGCCUCUUUGUAGGUAAAAGUACAUAUCAGAUAUGAAGGCACAACUUUUUUGUUUAAUACACAAUAGAUAUUCCAUUAAUAAACAUACAGCAUUGGGUCAAUAUCAUACAAAAAUGAAGAAAAAGUUGAAAAAUCUAGAACUCCCUUAUUCUCUCUAGAUCAUCAGCCUGAAUCAUUAAUUCAACAAAUAUUUAUUGAAUGUCUACUCUAAGUAAGGAAGUGUUCUAGGAGCUGGGGAUAUACCAGUGACCAAGACAGAUGACAUCUCUAAUUUCAUAGAUCUUUAGUGCAUUGUGGGAAACAAACAUUCUCUAGUAAUGCACUAGUGAAUACAAUUAGAAAUAUAUAAUGGUAUAACUAUUAAUAUAAAAUAUAAAAAUAUGAUAGAAAAAUUAGUAUAAGACUUGUAUAAUUCAUAUUUAAGAAUUCAAG
rnacentral:lncRNA from 10 species